UGAACGCUGGCGGCGUGCCUAAUACAUGCAAGUAGACCGCUGAAGCUUGGUGCUUGCACCGAGCGGAUGAGUUGCGAACGGGUGAGUAACGCGUAGGUAACCUGCCUCUUAGCGGGGGAUAACUAUUGGAAACGAUAGCUAAUACCGCAUAAAAGUCGACAUCGCAUGAUGUUGACUUGAAAGGUGCAAUUGCAUCACUAAGAGAUGGACCUGCGUUGUAUUAGCUAGUUGGUGAGGUAACGGCUCACCAAGGCGACGAUACAUAGCCGACCUGAGAGGGUGAUCGGCCACACUGGGACUGAGACACGGCCCAGACUCCUACGGGAGGAAGCAGUAGGGAAUCUUCGGCAAUGGGGGCAACCCUGACCGAGCAACGCCGCGUGAGUGAAGAAGGUUUUCGGAUCGUAAAGCUCUGUUGUAAGAGAAGAACGAGUGUGAGAGUGGAAAGUUCACACUGUGACGGUAACUUACCAGAAAGGGACGGCUAACUACGUG
rnacentral:rRNA from 1 species